GCAGCUGCACGUUUUCUCACUCGCCGGAAAGGAAAAACAAAAAAAAUACACAGAGUAUAUAUUUAUACAUGGAUGAACCGCAGAGACAAAACCAACAACAGGCAGAAAGCCGGAGAGAAAGAGUUAGGACGUCUUAGUUUUUUUUCCCUAGUAUUAGUUGACCAAACAAUGGACCACCGCAUUUUCUGGUGCUCCAUUCGAAAAGGUAGAGAGACUGACCUAAAUAUUUGGCGAAUGAGCUGCGAAUAAUUGCCCACCAUUUUGAAUCUUUAUUCUUUUCUCGAGAUCAAUAAUUUUUCAGAUGAAGCUGAUAGAUCCCCCCUCGUAAAAGGCUACUUUGUACAAAAACAUUAUUGAAAAUCAUCGCCACUAGCAUGCCUAUUCUUCAGUUUCUCUUCAAGGUUGAACCGAAUCGUAACGAGCCCUUGAUUGAAAUUGCUUCUAGGCUUUCUCUGUGGGAUAGAUGACUGCGAAGAAAUGGCGUCACACGAUGGCAGUCCGAAACGCCCAGUUCUACAUGUAGCAUGCCUUAAACCACCAUAAAAGGAAACCGUUUGGAAUAAUAAAAAAAGGACAUAAAGAUAAGCACCAAAGUAUUGAUCCAGACUGUGUCGUUUUUUUUUAAUACCCCCGGCACGCAGACAUUUAUCGCAUUGAUCCGGGCGCAAUGGGUACCCGGCUAAGCGAACACAUCCGGAUAACAAUAUCCAACUGAAAAUAAGUCGUCAACAGCGACAAAAACGUCAUCCUAGCGUGGCAAACGCAUACACCAAUAAGACAAACAAACACAAUAGCGAGCCGAAGGGCACAACAAAAAUUCUACAAGGCAAUAGGAAUCAACAGAUCUUAAGGAUCAGGGUCUGGUUCUUAUCAACUGAAUGCCUGGUUUUUAUUUGAUUUACUUUUAUUAUUUUCCCUCGAUUUUACAACGCCAAAAAACCCAAACAUCCUCAUAAAACAAUAUGUUUUUUUCACGGCGGGAAUGUUAAUCAGGUUUGUGCUGAUGACAUGGCAUGAUUAGCGGACGUAAAUAGAAUUCGUGAACUGUCAAAAGAUCAAAAGGAUCACCUUCACGGCCGCCAGGAAAGAUUCCAGAGCCUUGGCAACGGAUGCCAAAGGUCCUUUCUAUUUCGAUCCACCCUCAACGUAGUGGCGUGUGUGUAUACUACUAGGCUCUUUCUCAAAAACAACGACGGGAUAGAAAGUCUUCACACAAGUGGAGAGAGAGAGGAAAAAGUCUGUGUACCACCAAGCCUGACCAUAUAAAGAAUUGUUGCUCAAGAACCCAGGCUGGCAGAGCUGGUUUGGCGGAAGCUGGACCGUUUCCAAGAACGUCGAUCGAUGGAUUCGCGUCUUUACAACCUACAUCCGUCGUUUGAAGCGAGUCAGAAAUUAUUCAGCCGUUUCUUUGACGCACAACGUUGACGCCUACCAGAAGCGCCUUCAAAGUUUCAAUGCCUGCCUCGCGGAGCUUUGAUUCUUAUAGCCAACUAAAAAGAAACUCAUUCAAAAGGAAUUUAUUGUCCUUCUAAAGCUGUGUGCAGAAUUCUAUUCCCAUUUGAAAGAACCUCUUACCCAGCAACACUCUGGGUCAUUUAUAGCAAUUGAACGUGGCCUUAUUUUUUCUCGAUAAAAAAAAAAAAAAAAAAAAAAACGAGCAAAUAAAAUAAAACAAAACAAACAAAAAAUAAAAUAACCUGUUCUAUACUCCAUGGUCAAACUUGGCUAGAUUUCUUUCUCAUGACAUUUCCAUAUUUUGUUUGGCCUGACUAAAUCUUUUAGAUGAAUUUUAUCGACCGUUCUUCCCACCCGCCAACUUAAAAAAGAAUGAAUGCAUCCGGCUGCAGUUGGCAGAAUGCGGAUUCAGCCGGUGAGACUUCGCAUGAAAAAUGAACCGAUGCUUGCGUGGCACGCGCCAUCAGACAAGAGAAAAAUCCGUGGGAUGUAACAACGUGACGAGACGCGUUUGUUAAUGCUUAAACCAAAAAAGAAACAAAGGGAGUGGCACGACGUGGAAGGAAUAUGCACAACUACGAAGCAUGAGUCAUCUGAUAGAUCAAUAAAGGCAUGCUCACGAUGGAAACGAUUGUUUUUUACCUCGGAUUGGUUGAUCCAUUGACGGGCCAUUUCCACCGCGUUCAAUAUGCGUUGACGCAAUCCGCUUUGAUCCGGUACGUUAGCCAAAUCUUCUGGUAGCAAACUGGUGAAAAGGGCAAGCGGAGUAUCCUUCGGGUACACCUG
rnacentral:lncRNA from 1 species